AGAAAGCAAUAAAUCCACCGCUGCAAAAUUCCUACUUUCCAGCCUCGCAUCAUCAUCCUUGCGAUGCUGCUUCAGCAUCUUCUUCUCAUACCGUCUCAUCCCCGCCUUUGCCCUCUCCACGCUACAACGCGAGCAAUACCACUUCCCCUUGGGUAUCCAAGUACGCCGAGGUGUUAUGCAGUACAGAUGAUAAGCCUCGUCGCAGCCGUCGCACAGAAUGGUCAGGUCGUCAUCUCUGUCAGAUAGACAAACCCGACAAAGGCAUGAUGGACAGUACCAGCACGGUUUGUCCCGCUGCAUAUCGCUAGCAAUCUGUUUAGACUUCAGACAGCAAAUGUGGUAGUACUUGUAUGGACAGUGGCUGUGACCACAUAUGAGGAAUCUCUUGGCAUCCUCUUCAGGAGUUCCACAUAUCUUGCAUGAACCACCGGGGUCAAUGUUCGACAGUUCCCGACCCUCAGUACUGGAAAGCACAGUUGCUCUUGACUUACCAACAGGUGGUACUGCGGCAGCCUUUGCAAUACCAGCUUCCCGUCGACGUGGAU
rnacentral:rRNA from 1 species